rnacentral:rRNA from 1 species
AGAGUUUGAUCCUGGCUCAGAUUGAACGCUGGCGGCAGGCCUAACACAUGCAAGUCGAGCGGAUGAAGGGAGCUUGCUCCCUGAUUUAGCGGCGGACGGGUGAGUAAUGCCUAGGAAUCUGCCUGGUAGUGGGGGAUAACGUUCCGAAAGGAACGCUAAUACCGCAUACGUCCUACGGGAGAAAGCAGGGGACCUUCGGGCCUUGCGCUAUCAGAUGAGCCUAGGUCGGAUUAGUUAGUUGGUGAGGUAAUGGCUCACCAAGGCGACGAUCCGUAACUGGUCUGAGAGGAUGAUCAGUCACACUGGAACUGAGACACGGUCCAGACUCCUACGGGAGGCAGCAGUGGGGAAUAUUGGACAAUGGGCGAAAGCCUGAUCCAGCCAUGCCGCGUGUGUGAAGAAGGUCUUCGGAUUGUAAAGCACUUUAAGUUGGGAGGAAGGGCAUUAACCUAAUACGUUAGUGUUUUGACGUUACCGACAGAAUAAGCACCGGCUAACUUCGUGCCAGCAGCCGCGGUAAUACGAAGGGUGCAAGCGUUAAUCGGAAUUACUGGGCGUAAAGCGCGCGUAGGUGGUUCGUUAAGUUGGAUGUGAAAGCCCCGGGCUCAACCUAGGAACUGCAUCCAAAACUGGCGAGCUAGAGUACGGUAGAGGGUGGUGGAAUUUCCUGUGUAGCGGUGAAAUGCGUAGA